GUGGCUUCCGGAGCUAACGCGUUAAGUAGACCGCCUGGGGAGUACGGCCGCAAGGUUAAAACUCAAAUGAAUUGACGGGGGCCCGCACAAGCGGUGGAGCAUGUGGUUUAAUUCGAUGCAACGCGAAGAACCUUACCUGGUCUUGACAUCCACAGAACUUUCCAGAGAUGGACUGGUGCCUUCGGGAACUGUGAGACAGGUGCUGCAUGGCUGUCGUCAGCUCGUGUUGUGAAAUGUUGGGUUAAGUCCCGCAACGAGCGCAACCCUUAUCCUUUGUUGCCAGCGGUCCGGCCGGGAACUCAAAGGAGACUGCCAGUGAUAAACUGGAGGAAGGUGGGGAUGACGUCAAGUCAUCAUGGCCCUUACGACCAGGGCUACACACGUGCUACAAUGGCGCAUACAAAGAGAAGCGACCUCGCGAGAGCAAGCGGACCUCAUAAAGUGCGUCGUAGUCCGGAUUGGAGUCUGCAACUCGACUCCAUGAAGUCGGAAUCGCUAGUAAUCGUGGAUCAGAAUGCCACGGUGAAUACGUUCCCGGGCCUUGUACACACCGCCCGUCACACCAUGGGAGUGGGUUGCAAAAGAAGUAGGUAGCUUAACCUUCGGGAGGGCGCUUACCACUUUGUGAUUCAUGACUGGGGUGAAGUCGUAACAAGGUAACCGUAGGGGAACCUGCGGUUG
rnacentral:rRNA from 1 species